rnacentral:rRNA from 1 species
GACGAACGCUGGCGGCGUGCUUAACACAUGCAAGUCGAACGGAAAGGCCCUGCUUUUGUGGGGUGCUCGAGUGGCGAACGGGUGAGUAACACGUGAGUAACCUGCCCUUGACUUUGGGAUAACUUCAGGAAACUGGGGCUAAUACCGGAUAGGAGCUCCUGCUGCAUGGUGGGGGUUGGAAAGUUUCGGCGGUUGGGGAUGGACUCGCGGCUUAUCAGCUUGUUGGUGGGGUAGUGGCUUACCAAGGCUUUGACGGGUAGCCGGCCUGAGAGGGUGACCGGCCACAUUGGGACUGAGAUACGGCCCAGACUCCUACGGGAGGCAGCAGUGGGGAAUAUUGCACAAUGGGCGGAAGCCGGAUGCAGCAACGCCGCGUGCGGGAUGACGGCCUUCGGGUUAUAAACCGCUUUCGCCUGUGACGAAGCGUGAGUGACGGUAAUGGGUAAAGAAGCACCGGCUAACUACGUG